GCCAGGCAUGGUGGUGCAUACCUGUAAUCCAAGUGACUUGGGAGGCUGAGGCAGGAGGAUUGCAAGUUCAAAGCCAGCCUCAG
rnacentral:sRNA from 1 species